AUGACAUCUAAGGGAGAAAACAAACAAACAUUAAUUAGCGAGAUGCUUUGAUUCUAAUUUGGUCUAGGAUGCAAUGACACCAGAAAAUAUUAUAGCACUAAGCUAGUGCAUGUUUUACUAACACACGAGACAUGCAUUUGUUGUUUAAUUUUAGAUCUGCAACAUAAAUCUAUUAAUAAUGCAUUUUAAUCUUUUACUAAUGUAUACUGAUUUUUGUCCUAGAUCAAAACAGACUCCUGCUUAUGUUCAUUUUACAGUUGUUUUCUUGCUGUUUUGAUUCAGCACUGGGGUUAGUUUCCUGCAUCUGGAGACCUUUGCCUGUGUGGCACAAGGCGGAACACACAUUUUAAGUGUUAUAGACUUUGUCAAUGUACCCUGUGAGUCUUGUUCACUGCAGCUUGACAGCAUUUGCCUUCUUCACCCUGACAAUUCCUUUGCUAUGGACCAGCUGUUUCCAGAUUAUUCACAUCUUUUUGGAACUCUUCUCCAUCUGUCUUUACAAAUCCUCUUUGGAAUCCUUCAUUGAUAAAGUGCAUUGCUGAUUUUGCCAAAUGCCCUUUGACAUUUCAUUAGGAUAAAAGUGAAACUAGUAUGUUCUAUUGUCCCAGCCUGUGGCAACAAAACUGUCCUGGCUGAAACUUCUGACUUGGUGGUGACAAGUACUUCAUAAGAGAAAGUGUUGGGAAAGCUUAGACAGUGUGACUGCCCAGUCCACUGGCUGUGUAAUGGCAUUGCAGAGGCUCAGCUGGGCAACCUACACCACAGCAGAAGGCUUGACCUGUCCCAUGUGCUCUACGGUAAACUUCUUUGCAAGAUUAUAUGGCCAGACACCAGCAAUGUGUUAAAUGUUCUUAAAUUUCUGAUCUUGAGAGUGCUGCGCACUGGGCUGCGCAGAGUAAGCUCAUGUAACUGUUCUGAGAAUGUCAGUUCAUGGUUUCUGGCAGCUUGUCAGGGUGGUUUCAACAAAUGUUUAAAAAAAUGCCUGAAAUGCAACUUAAAAGCAUAUGAAUUGAACCCAGCUGUUGUGAAGAAACACCGUAAGACACUGUAAGGUUGUACCCAAUUGGUGGUGUUGGCAUAAACUAUUUUGAAAUACGAGGUGCUGACAUUCUCUGUAAGAAAGGUGAGUAGCAGAAUGCAAGAAUCUGCAGCCUGCUGUGAUCACAGGCCAUCUCAUUUGUUCCACGUGCAACCUGUUUGCAGCUCUCUUUUCAGUCUGCUCUUCAUCUGCAUAUUCCCCUUUACUAUAUUAAAAAUUCUCUUAUAUUGCUAUUGUGUGAUAGCUCAUCCAGCUAUCCAUCCCCUCUGCUUCUUAGUUAGAAUCAGUCCCUGAUUCUAUGCAUGCAGAUAAUUUAGUCACCAGAGUAACACAGCUACUGAUGUAUUCUAGGCAAGGUGUUACAAGCCUGGGUCUCAGUCUGACCUGGAUCUGGAAAAUUUCAGGAGGCAUCAUGAAGAAACUGUGAUCACAAAACUCUUCUGUUGCCCUUCAACCAACUUCACAUCCCCCAUAGGAGCAGUUUUUGUUUAUGCAUUCAUCCUUGAGAUUCAGAUUUUAUACUCUUGCAGUCUCCUGAAGAUCUGUGAAGUAAUGCUUAUAUCAUCGGUAGGAUCCUGAGCAAUCUAUAUUUUCCACUGCUUCAUCAUUGCUAAGAAGUACAGGAUUAAAAGCAAAGCGUGCACAUGAGCAGUGGAGUCAAUGGAAUUCAGUGAUGCAACCAGUAAAUUAUUCCAUCUGUGACUGCAACUAUGAAGUCUUGUUUUUAAAGAUCUAGGAUGGCUAGGUGGCCUUUUUUUUUUAUAUAUAUAUAUAAACACUGACACUCUGAAGCAAACCUGAAAAAAUCAACAGUAUGCCAAGUCACAGUGCUUGUCCAUUCCCCAAUUAAUUCAACUCUCCCAGACUGUGUUCAUCCUAGUUAUGUGAACACAGCCAUUCUGGUGCAAGACAGACAUGCACAAAAAGUCAAUUUAGCAUGCUAGAAUAAGCCGCUUGCUUUUCAACAGUAAGUGCAGAAAUGACUGCAUACCAUCAGU